rnacentral:sRNA from 1 species
AUGAUUCGACUCCUGGUGCCGGCACCAUACAAGGUUCCAGAGAAGGCUUUCAAAAUCUCUGGAACCCCCGAAAAACCCGCCUUCUGGCGGGUUUUUUCGU